rnacentral:rRNA from 1 species
CUACGGGUGGCAGCAGUUAGGGAUAUUCGGCAAUGGGGGAAACCCUGACCGAGCAAUGCCGCGUGAAUGAAGAAGUAUUUCGAUAUGUAAAGUUCUGUUGUUAAGGAAGAAAGGUACGAAUAGGAAAUGAUUCGUAAUUGACGGUACUUAACCAGAAAGCCCCUGCUAACUACGUGCCAGCAGCAGCGGUAAUACGUAGGGGGCGAGCGUUAUCCGGAAUUAUUGGGCGUAAAGGGUGCGUAGGCGGCCUGUCAAGUCCGAGUUGAAAGCCCACGGCUUAACCGUGGAGGGUGCUCGGAAACUGAUAGGCUUGAAUCCAGAAGAGGCAAGUGGAAUUCUAUGUGGAGCGGUGGAAUGCGUAGAUAUAUGGAGGAACACCAGUGGCGAAGGCGGCUUGCUGGGCUGGUAUUGACGCUGAUGCACGAAAGCGUGGGGAGCAAACAGGAUUAGAUACCCUAGUAGUC